AUCAAGAGUCAUUCCCAGGUAUUUUGCCGUAUUUGCUGGUGGAACCAUUAUGCUAUUGAGGAAAAUGGGUUCAUGCAGCAACAUUAUCAACUGACCGUGGCAGCUUUGUCGUUGAUUCCUGCAAUGAGUCGCCUGUUGCCAGCAUUGCAGCGUCAUCCGCAAACGUGGCCAUCAUGCAGUUUGGUGUUUGGGGUAUAUCAUUUGUGUAGAGCAAGUACAGCUUGGGCUCCAGUACAUUUCGUUGAGGAACUCGGUCAAAUGCUUGUGCUACAUCUAAGAAGAUAGCAGAGCACACUUUCUUAUGCUCAAGGAAUUUUUCUAUGACGUCAGUGAUUCGGUGUACUUGGUCAAUCGUUGAAUGUGGACUACGGAACCCAAACUGAUGGGUUGAUAUUUUUUUGUGAUUGCAACCUUUUCAGAAUCAGCUUUUCAAAUAAUUUUGACAUGAUUGGUAGCAGUGAGAUUGGCCGAUAUGAUUCUACUUUAUGUGGAUUUGUGCCAGGUUUUGGAAUCAUAAUUACAUCCGAUACUUUCCAUUGUACCGGUACAUAUUUUAGUCGGAUUGACGCGUUAAUUAAUGUAGUCAAUUUUACCAAGGCUUUUCGUUGCAUUUUCUUUAGUAUUGUACCUGUGAUCAUAUCAAAACCGGGUGCUUUGUUCGGGUUUAGGUUCAUUUUAACUUCUUGACUGACUUCUUUUGUUGUAACCAGCGGAAUUGAGUCCAAGGGGUAAUUUGGAGUUAGGUUAGGCAGUUUAUCCACCCCGGUAUUAGGCAAAAAUCUAGUCUCGAGGUGUUCCGCAAAGAUCAUUGCUUUAUCGUUGAUAGUACGAGCCCAUAGUCCAUCAAUUUUUUGGAUGGGUGGCAUUUGUGUUACAGGGCGCUUUAAGUAUUUUGUUACUUUCCACAAGGAAUAUCCUGUGCUAUCAUCUACGGUUAAAUUGCUGAGAUAGUUGUUGAUUGAAGAAUUUUUCAAUGCUGCAAUCUCUCUUCUUAGUUGUUACGCGUAUUUGUUUAGGAUUGUUUUGUCGUUGGUGCCCGUGUUUGAUGCCAGCCCCUUCUUAGUUUUCGUUUUACAGCAAUCAUAUCUCUAAAUUCUUUCGGGAAGUUGAGUCCCUUAGAUUUUGUUUUAAUAAUUGGUGUGCUGUUCCAGGCGGCCUGUUGUAUAGCUGCAGUAAAAUUGUACACUUCAUCCUCUAAUUGUUCAGUCGUCUUGAGGGGGAUAUUUAGUUUAAUAUUGCUCUCCAGGAGAAUAUUGAAGUAUUGCCAGUCUGUAUAGUUGUUUGUCAAAACUGUGCUUCGGCCUUUUGUAAUAAUAUGUUCGCUGAUCGUUAAUAGAAUUGGAGAGUGGUCGGAGUUCAAAUCGUAUCUUUCAUCAAUUUUUAAAUAGUUUUCUGAAAUGUAUUUGGCUACAAAAAAGUCAAUCAGAUCUGGGGUUUUGUUUGGGUCGGUUGGCCAGUAUGUGGGUUUUCCACUGGAUAAGAAAACACAUCCGAAGUCCAUAGCAGCUUGGUAUAACUCACGCCCUUUUGCCGUAAUAAGUCUGGAUUCCCAGUGCGUGUGCUUCGCAUUAAAGUCGCCUCCAAAUAUAAAUCGUCCAUUUAGUUUCGCAAACAAUUCCAAGAACUUGUCUGCAUAUAUAUUGAAACGAGGAGGGCAGUAUAUUGCACUUAUAGUAAGUGUUUGUGCUGUUGUCAUAAGUGUUACAGUCGUUGCAUAUCAACUUGCAUAUCACAGGUCGAGCACUUUUCUUCUUCAUAAUGUUUUAUAUUAUCUCUGAUUAUUAUAGCACUUCCUCCCCGAGCUGUUUUGGCGGGGUGAAUGGUAUAUGUUGUGAAAUUUUUGAAUUUAAUAUGUGAUUCUGUUGUGAAAUGUGUUUCAGAAAUCAAGCAAAUAUCAAUAUUUUCAAAACUUAGGAUUGCCUGCAGCAGGAAAUUAGGCAUUAUUGAUGUUGGAUUCAAUUUUAUCUAACCGCUGCAUGAUUUGCUGCAACAUUGAUUCUAUUGAGUUUUGUGGUUUACCUUUUGUUUUGUCACUGUAGGAUGGUUUCGGAACUGCAGAGUUUCCAUUUGCUGGUUGUUCUGGGAGAGUGUUUGGGUGUGAAUUGGUGCUUUUUGCGUUUUCUCUUCCACUUUGGCGGAGGGACCCUGACUGUGUUGGUUUUUUGUGAGACUUAUUUCUGUAUUUUAGUAUCUCUUUGUAGACUUCACAUCCACGAUAAUUUGCCGGAUGAUUCUCUCCGCAGUGUACGCAUUUUGGAUCAGCGUUUGGUGGCUUAUUGGAAUCCUGUGUAGGGUGAGAUUUUCUACACUUUGCGCACCUGGGGGUUUUGUGGCAGAAGUUGUGUGUGUGUCCAUAUUGUUGGCAACGUUUACAUUGUGGUGUGAAUUUAUUUCUUCUCAGUGGUUAUAUUUAAUCGAUUUCUGUUUUAUUAUCAAAUGACACAAUAAACAUGUUUAGUGGUACUGUUUCUUGAAUAUGAUUGGCUCGCCUUUCCUUUUUCUGUUCUGAAAAAAUUGACAGAAUGUAUGACAAAAUUGAAGACAACAACAAAAUUAUGAACGAAAUGAGAGAUAAAUUGGACGACAACGCUAAGAAAUUUGAAGACUUGAAGACAACCGUUGAAGACACACUAAAGAACAUCGAGGAAGACAGUGUCAAGCUCCAGAAGAUUCUGAAAGAAGACAAUACGAAGUUUCAGAACGAUGUUAGAGAUGAAAAUAUCAAGUUUUAAGACAAAGUUGAUGAAAAUAUCUGUCGAUUUCACGCACAUGUGGAAGAAGAAAUAAUCAAAAUUAGACAAAAAUAUUCCACAUAUUUAUGCCAAUUUGAAGCCUCUGCAUUAUUUAACGGGUGGAAUGAUCAGGAGAAGGCAACAACACGUAUUAUUUCCCUACGAGGCGAAGCACCGGAAAUUUUACGAUCAAUACCACAAGAUGACCGUAAGAACCAUCAGGCCACGCUCGAAAUUUUUUAAAUGAGGUAUGGUGAUACACAUUUGAAAGAAGUCUACAAAACCCAGCUU